UUGACCUCGGAUCAGGUAGGAUUACCCGCUGAACUUAAGCAUAUCAAUAAGCGGAGGAAAAGAAACCAACAGGGAUUGCCUCAGUAACGGCGAGUGAAGCGGCAACAGCUCAGAUUUGGAAUCUGGUCCUUUGGGGCCCGAGUUGUAAUCUGGAGAGGAUGCUUCUGGCGCGGCGCCGUCCGAGUUCCCUGGAACGGGACGCCGGAGAGGGUGAGAGCCCCGUACGGUCGGACGCCUAGCCUGUGUGAAGCUCCUUCGACGAGUCGAGUAGUUUGGGAAUGCUGCUCAAAAUGGGAGGUAAAUUUCUUCUAAAGCUAAAUACCGGCCAGAGACCGAUAGCGCACAAGUAGAGUGAUCGAAAGAUGAAAAGCACUUUGAAAAGAGGGUCAAACAGUACGUGAAAUUGUUGAAAGGGAAG
rnacentral:rRNA from 2 species